rnacentral:lncRNA from 1 species
AUACGUUCAUUAAUGCUUUUUCCAGCCCGAGUCAAACUUAUUGGGGGUUGGGGGGGAGAGUUUACUCGGGCUGGGGAUAAUCUGGAGCCUACUGCCCGGGAAGAUCCGGACGCAGACCGACGCAAACCAACCAUUAAAAAAAUGCAUCCAGUGGGAAUUUUUCCACUCGGGCCCUGGGCUGCCGAGUGGCGGCAGACUGGGAGCUGUUCACCGGUCGACGCGGACUCCGGGCGGUUUCGGAAGGAUCCCACCGUCGGGGGCGCGGACUAGGCUCCCAGCGCAUUGUUAGCAGAAGGGCGCCCCCGGACAGCGCGUCUCGGCCCUUUGCUCCUGGAGAGCUCCCGGCGCCCUCCCGGGGCCGGGACCGGCGGCACCCUAGGCCACCUAUCCGCGCCUUCUAGGGUCAAACCCCUCGCGCUUUACCUGGACCGGAUGGCCCAAGUCCCGGCGCUCGGCCAGAGCCGCCUAUGCAGUGCUACUCCGAGCGCAGAGAAACCUACACUACCGCAGGACGUUCCCUCCACGCUGGUCCACAGGUCUCCAGAGCGCAGCACGCAAGAUCGCCGCACAGACUCAGACUUCCCCUCGGGUUACCUUUUCCACGCUCUCCAGACCACGCUUUGGACUUUUUCACUUUUAUUUAAGAGUCCACCCGGGGAAGGAGGAAAAAAAAUCCAGAGGAGAUCCGAGUCAAUUGGAAAGAAAAAAAAAUUCAAAAGGGUGUCCACAGCGGCGAAAAAGCCCAGACUCUGCCGACCUUCAAACGACAACAGGGCUUUCAGGAGGGUGCGGGGAGACCGCUUCCCACCCAGACCUGGCCAGAAACCCGGCACCCCAGCCACACUGCCCCUCUUUCAGGCAGAAGGGAUUUCAACUCCACCACCGGGAGGCCCCCUUCCUGGUCCUGGGCAAACACUGAGAUUAAACAUCUCUUACCCGCACCAAGGCUCCAGGACCUGGCCUCCCCAAAAGAAAUGGGACGAGGGCCGAACGCAAAAGUGGCGCUUCCUGAGAGUCGCACCCCAUCGCGGUGGCCACGUGCCGGCAGACGGUCCCACACUUCGGUGGCAUUCGCGGACGCAGGAGGGAGCUCGGCGCGGGCACGCAGGUGGGGGUGGGGGGGGCUCCUCGGGGGCGGAGUUUCAGGGAGCAGGGGGCGGGGCCGGGACCUGA